rnacentral:sRNA from 1 species
CCUCCACUACCAGCCUUCCCUCUGUGCUGGGUUAUCUGUUAAUGACAGCACCCCAGGUCUUGUCUUGAGAUUCAGCUGCCAUGGAGGUAUGAGCCGACCAAGCCCAGAGCCUCCCUCUCAUUUACUAAGCAAGUACACCCGCUGAGCUACACUUCUAGAGCCUAAACAACACCAAGAGACUGGCUGUUUCUGUCCUGGGAAGGGCUCUCUUCACCUUCUGGAAUUGCUCUCAUGCAGCCUGCCUCAGCAUGAGGGGUGUGGUUCUUGCCACUCGCAGAUUGUUUGGAAGUCUGGGGACCCUGGAGAGGGUAUAAAUGCAAGAGCCCCAAGAGGGUCUGUGGUGGCUGCUGCUCUCCCUGUUGUUCCUGUUGCCACUUUGGAUUGCUGGAUUGCUGGAUUGCUGGAUUGCUGGAUUGCUGGAUUGCUGGAUUGCUGGAUUGCUGGAUUGCUGGAUUGCUGGAUUGCUGGAUUGCUGGAUUGCUGGAUUGCUGGGUUGCUGGGUUGCUGGGUUGCUGGAUUGCUGGAUUGCUGGGUUGCUGGAUUGCUGGAUUGCUGGA